GAAUGACUGGAUGCAAUUAUUCCAUCUCCAUCCUUAUAAAGAGACGGGUAACUCACGACUGCUCAGCAGAGACGUCCACAUCACCUCUAGAUCUCACAGUGCUCACUUUGCUGUCUGUGACACCAGUUUUUUCUUGCUUCUGACAACCAAGCUGCAGAAAGGAUGAAGGCUGUUAUGAUCUUUCUGGUGUUGACGCUGGUCGUCGUCAUGGCUGAAGCCCAGUCGUAUGGUCCCAUCAGCAACAGUGGAAACACAGGAACAACUGGAGGUCUCCACUUUGCAGGAAGAAGACGGGCAACAUCCCAAGUUGAAAUGGCCGAAGAUAGACUGAGGCGAUACUAUGAAGACUGAGUCUGUUCUUGAUUUUGAAGAUAUAGUUUGAGCUAUAUCUUUGUGCUUUGCAAAGCAACAAAUAAUUGGAUGAGUAAAUAUGAAGCUCUUGAGAUGUAGUGAUUUUAGUCACAGCUCCAAGUGAUGUUGAAAAAAGUAAAACUGCUUGAUAGUGAAAACUAUCCUGCUGAAUAAAGCUGCAUUCCAAAAGAC